rnacentral:pre_miRNA from 1 species
UGGGAGUGCAGGAUCAUGGGCUGUGUCUCCCUGGCACCCUGGGAUCUGGGGCCUGUGCUGCUGGAAUCAUGCUCCUGGGGCCGCGGCUCCCA